rnacentral:rRNA from 1 species
CGCCGCGUGAGGGAAGAAGGUUUUCGGAUUGUAAACCUCUGUCAGGGGGGAAGAUAGUGACGGUACCCCUUGAGGAAGCCACGGCUAACUACGUGCCAGCAGCCGCGGUAAUACGUAGGUGGCAAGCGUUGUCCGGAAUUACUGGGUGUAAAGGGAGUGUAGGCGGGACUUUAAGUCAGAUGUGAAAUGCGCAGGCUCAACCUGCGACCUGCAUUUGAAACUGAAGUUCUUGAGUGAAGUAGAGGCAAGCGGAAUUCCUAGUGUAGCGGUGAAAUGCGUAGAUAUUAGGAGGAACACCAGUGGCGAAGGCGGCUUGCUGGGCUUUUACUGACGCUGAGGCUCGAAAGCGUGGGGAGCAAACAGGAUUAGAUACCCUGGUAGUCCACGCCGUAAACGAUGAUAACUAGGUGUGGGGGGAUUGAACCCUUCCGUGCCGCAGCUAACGCAUUAAGUUAUCCACCUGGGGAGUACGUGCGCAAGCAUGAAACUCAAAGGAAUUGACGGGGGCCCGCACAAGCAGUGGAGUAUGUGGUUUAAUUCGAAGCAACGCGAAGAACCUUACCGGGGCUUGACAUGGGGACGACAGGCGUAGAGAUACGCCCUUCUUCGGACGUCCCACACAGGUGGUGCAUGGUUGUCGUCAGCUCGUGUCGUGAGAUGUUGGGUUAAGUCCCGCAACGAGCGCAACCC